rnacentral:rRNA from 1 species
UAAACUAGGAUUAGAUACCCUAUUAUAUUAAUUUUUUAAGUACUUAAUUAUUAAAUGUAAAUCAUUAAAAUUAUAAGAAAUGGCAGUUAUAUAAAAUUUUAGGGGAACUUGUAUAUUAAUUUGAUGAUCCACGAUAAUAGAUACUAAUAAAAUUUAUAAUAUUACUUUUGUAUUGUUGUUUAAAGAUUUUAUAUAAAUAUUAUAAUUUAAAUUUUUUUUAGAAAAAAUAAUUCAAAUCAAAAUAAAGUAUUUAUUAGGUAAUAUGAGUUACAUUAAUUAAUAUUUUAAUGAAUUAAAAAUUUUAAUAUUUUUAAUUAAUAGGAUUUAAAAGUAAAAUUAAUAAUAUAUUAAUUUGAAUUUUUUUUAUAUAGUGUACAAAUUGCCCGUCAAUUUCAAUAAAAUUGAAAUAAGUCGUAACAUAGUAAGAGUAUUGGAA